UAAUGUUAGUUUGCGGGCGAAAUCGCAAGGGUAUUGACUAUGGCAACCACUGUAGAACAAGCUGUAUAUCCUUUGCUCAUAACCUUAUCCGUUCUGGGUUUAGGUGUAUAUUCCUCGCAGAAACUUUAUUUAAGUAUUUUAUAUAAUUUGACAGUGUGGACUGCUUAUAGCUGCUUGUUUUAUUACACAGUGACCGCGCUUAAAGUACAAAAUUGGUUUCUAUCACCUGUUUAUUUGGCCAAUCUGCAUAUUAGCAUUUUCACCAGCAUUGCAUCUAUUAUCCUAAGUGUAUAUCAAGACAAGAAAUUUCGUAAAUUUAUAAAAAGACUUGAGCUUGUAAACGAUACACUGGAAGAAUUAGGUACUCCAAAGAUAUAUCACAAGCUACACGUGUACGCAAAAAGAAUAUUAAUUGGAUGGUUAGUGUGUAGUCACAGUAUAAGUGCGUGUGACAUAAUAUGGUGGUGGUACAUAAUAAAGGAUUGACGAAGCGUGAUUAUACCUUACGUUGUAAAUCAUUAUUAUUACGUCAACAUGUUUGUGGAUUUAUUAUUUGUCACUUUUUUAUGGUACAUUGGCACUAAAUUUGAUAACGUAAAUGAACACAUGAGAUGUUUACUAAUAAAAAAAAAACGUGGAUUGAGACGUGCAUGGAGAACAGUCACACCGAUAACACGUCUAUGUAUUACAUAUACUGGCAAUUACAAAUGCGUGCUGUGGACUUCCAUGCAUCUUCAUCUGGAGUUAUGUCAAAUCGCACGAGAAUUAAACGCAAUGUUUGGAAUACAAAUCACUUUGGAAAUGCUAGCUCAUCUGAUACAUCUGACAAGAUUAAUUUCUUAUUUUUUCAUAAAUGUAAAAAUAGAAGAUCAUCAUUUGCUUACAUCAAUUGGUGGAAUCGAUUUCCAAGUUUGGAUUUGGAUAUAUGUAGUUAGAAUUUUUGGAUUAAAUUACAUUUGUGAAAAUGUCAGUGAAAAGGCUAAUAGAAUAAAAAGAAUUAUUCACUAUUUAUCUGAUUCCCUUCGAUAUGCUGAUGUUCGUGAAGAGAUUCAUCAAUUUAUAUUGCAAACAAUACACCAUCCAUUAAAAUUUACUGGGCUGAAUCUCUUUUACUUUGGUAACGGCUUUCUACAAAAAUUUUUUAUAAAAGUCUCAACAUUAGUGAUGAUUGUAGUGCAGAUGUCUAACACUCUAUCACCAAAUACAAGUGCCGGAAAUUUUAAAGAAAAAUAACCAAAGUAACACCAACAUAUGUAACAUAUGAGAAAAUGUGUCUGGUUUGCUUAUAGCUAUUUGUUUUACAACGUGCUAAUCGACAAUCUAGAAACGGCUCCAGGUUUUACAGGAGGCAUCUUUAUUACGUUUACAUCCGCAAUUUUUAGUCUUUAUCAUCAAAAGAGAUUUGAAAUACUUAUGAAAAAACUUGCUAAAGUGGAUGAUACUUUGGAAGAACUUGGCACUCCAAAAAUGUAUCGAAAAAUGUAUAU